GAUUACAGGCAUGAGCCACCACGUCUGGCCAAAAGAGGCUCUUUUAAGACACAGUCAAGUUUCCUUGGUCAUCUGUAUGUGCCACACUUCUGUCCUUUGGGCUGGGGCAGACACAUGUGGUUUCAAAACAACCCAAUGCAUCUCAGCCCUGGCUCUCCACUAAGCAGAGCCACCAACUCCUGUGUGUCUGAGGCAAAUCCAUGUCUUCUUUUUUAUUUUUUUUCAUUUCAGAUGGAGUCUAGCUCUGUCCCCCAGGCUGGAAUGCAGUGGUGUGAUCUCGGUUCACUGCAACCUCUGCCUCCAAGGUUCAAGUGAUUCUCCUGCCUCAGCCUCCCAAGUAGCUGGGAUUACAGUCUAGCCGUUCUCAGCAUCAGGUGACUCUGCUCCUUGAAAAUACAUUUAAGUGAUGCCAUUCCUGUCCAAAACCACCACUGACUCCUUCUUCAGAGGGCAAGCCUUGAAAUCAUGUGCAUUUGCCUGUGAGACGUUUCUCCGAUUAUCUGAAAAUCUUCUGCCAGGGAUAAGGCGAUUUGUCUCCAUUCUGUCUGAGGUUGCGGAUCUUGGUUUGCAGAGGAGGGCUGCAACGUAGUAGGUUCCUCCACGUGGCUUCUCACUGAAGCCAGAAUGACUCAUUUAGAGAGUAAUCUUGGUGCGGCCUCUUGCUGCCCUCUGGUGGAGAAAACGGGUAUUGAACAAGCCAUAACGACUGAUCUCUGAGGCAAAUGCUGUGAAGUGUCAGCGCAAAGGUCCACGGGGAAUAAUUACACUUCAAGCUAUUAUCUAAAUGAACGGAGUUCAUCUAAAUGAAUGGAGUUGGAACGGUUGUUCUAUGAGAAUCUGAUUUCUCAGCAAGAGAAGUUUUAAUUCCAUCCCCUUUUUAUUUCUGUUUGCUGCGAACUGGUUUCUCAUUUCUCCACACUUGCUCUUCCUUUUCGUGAACAAUCAUUUUGUGUAUUUUGAGAUCAUUAUAAAAUUCUUGUACGCUCAUUUUAAAACAUUUCCAGAAAGUGAAAGUCAGCAUGUGACCCAGGAAAAUUCUAAUUCUUAAAACACUCAAGACUCUAAACUAGGGUUUAGACCUAUAUAUUCAGAUCUAAUUCCAAACCAAAAUUCAUUUCAGAAGUUUAAAUAAAACGUAUUAGUCUUAUGCCUUCUGAGUCUUUGAUUCAAAUGAGAGGCUUCUUUUUUUAUUUUUUUAUUUUAUUAUUAUUAUACUUUAAGUUUUAGGGUACAUGUGCACAAUGUGCAGGUUAGUUACAUAUG
rnacentral:lncRNA from 10 species